rnacentral:rRNA from 1 species
CUGCAUUUGAAACUGGCAAGCUUGAGUCUUGUAGAGGGGGGUAGAAUUCCAGGUGUAGCGGUGAAAUGCGUAGAGAUCUGGAGGAAUACCGGUGGCGAAGGCGGCCCCCUGGACAAAGACUGACGCUCAGGUGCGAAAGCGUGGGGGGCAAACAGGAUUAGAUACCCUGGUAGUCCACGCCGUAAACGAUGUCGACUUGGAGGCUGUUCCCUUGAGGAGUGGCUUCCGGAGCUAACGCGUUAAGUCGACCGCCUGGGGAGUACGGCCGCAAGGUUAAAACUCAAAUGAAUUGACGGGGGCCCGCACAAGCGGUGGAGCAUGUGGUUUAAUUCGAUGCAACGCGAAGAACCUUACCUACUCUUGACAUCCAGAGAAUUUAGCAGAGAUGCUUUAGUGCCUUCGGGAACUCUGAGACAGGUGCUGCAUGGCUGUCGUCAGCUCGUGUUGUGAAAUGUUGGGUUAAGUCCCGCAACGAGCGCAACCCUUAUCCUUUGUUGCCAGCACGUAAUGGUGGGAACUCAAAGGAGACUGCCGGUGAUAAACCGGAGGAAGGUGGGGAUGACGUCAAGUCAUCAUGGCCCUUACGAGUAGGGCUACACACGUGCUACAAUGGCGCAUACAAAGAGAAGCGACCUCGCGAGAGCAAGCGGACCUCAUAAAGUGCGUCGUAGUCCGGAUUGGAGUCUGCAACUCGACUCCAUGAAGUCGGAAUCGCUAGUAAUCGUAAAUCAGAAUGUUACGGUGAAUACGUUCCCGGGCCUUGUACACACCGCCCGUCACACCAUGGGAGUGGGUUGCAAAAGAAGUAGAUAGCUUAACCUUCGGGAGGGCG